AACGAACGCUGGCGGCAUGCCUAACACAUGCAAGUCGAACGAUGCCUUCGGGCAUAGUGGCGCACGGGUGCGUAACGCGUGGGAAUCUGCCCUUGGCUUCGGAAUAACAGUUAGAAAUGACUGCUAAUACCGGAUGAUGUCCCCCUGAGAGAUCUUGGGGACCAAAGAUUUAUCGGCCCGGGAUGAGCCCGCGUAGGAUUAGGUAGUUGGUGGGGUAAAGGCCUACCAAGCCGACGAUCCUUAGCUGGUCUGAGAGGAUGAUCAGCCACACUGGGACUGAGACACGGCCCAGACUCCUACGGGAGGCAGCAGUGGGGAAUAUUGGACAAUGGGGGGAACCCUGAUCCAGCAAUGCCGCGUGAGUGAUGAAGGCCUUAGGGUUGUAAAGCUCUUUUACCAGGGAUGAUAAUGACAGUACCUGGAGAAUAAGCUCCGGCUAACUCCGUG
rnacentral:rRNA from 1 species